AGCUUUGCACAGUGGCAGUAUCAUAGCCAAUGAUGUUUAUCAUAGGUGUGAUUGUUGCUAAUUGAAAACAUAAAGUGCCUAAAGAUGAUUAACUUUUUUCUGUGGUGCGGGGGUUUUAUGCAUGCUAGGCAAGUGCUCUACCAC
rnacentral:snRNA from 1 species